rnacentral:tRNA from 1 species
GGAAGCCAUUCUCGGCCGGCGCCGGGUGCGGUCUUCAAAACCGUUGUCUGCCGCUUUGGCGCGCAGAGGUGGGUUCGACUCCCACUGGCUUCCGCCA